UGCUAAACAUUCCUUUUCCGU
rnacentral:piRNA from 1 species